GUGUCAGCCGCCGCGGUAAUACAGAGGGUGCAAGCGUUAAUCGGAUUUACUGGGCGUAAAGCGCGCGUAGGCGGCUAAUUAAGUCAAAUGUGAAAUCCCCGAGCUUAACUUGGGAAUUGCAUUCGAUACUGGUUAGCUAGAGUGUGGAAGAGGAUGGUAGAAUUCCAGGUGUAGCGGUGAAAUGCGUAGGGAUCUGGAGGAAUACCGAUGGCGAAGGCAGCCAUCUGGCCUAACACUGACGCUGAGGUGCGAAAGCAUGGGGAGCAAACAGGAUUAGAUACCCCGGUAGUC
rnacentral:rRNA from 1 species